GUCCGUUUGGAGUUAUAGAAGGUCUAACCUGCUCACUGAUAAGUAAUGUUGUUUAAGAGCCGCGGUAUAUUGACCGUGCAAAGGUAGCAUAAUAAUUAGUUUUUUAAUUGGAAACUUGUAUGAAUGGUUGGACAAGGGUGUAUCUGUCUCUGUAGCGUAAAUAGAAGUUAACUUUUAAGUGAAAAGGCUUAAAUGGACCAGGGGGACGAUAAGACCCUAUAAAGCUUUAUAUGUUGAUUAGGUUUGGUUAAAGUUAAAGAGAUUAAAAACUUAAUUUGGUUACCAUAUUUUAUUGGGGCGAUAUAGGUAUAAUUUAUAUUAACUGCUUGUUUAUAAAACAUCAAGAUGGAUGUUUAAAAGUUAAAUGAUCCUUUAUAAAGAUUAAGAGACUAAGUUACUUUAGGGAUAACAGCGUUAUUUUUUUUGAGAGUUCAUAUCGAAAAAAGAGUUUGCGACCUCGAUGUUGAAUUAAAAUGUCUAUAUAGUGCAGCCGCUAUAUAAGAAGGUCUGUUCGACCUUUAAAUUUUUACG
rnacentral:rRNA from 1 species